rnacentral:rRNA from 1 species
GACGAACCAUCCAAACGUUAUUCGGAAUUACUGGGCUUAAAGGGUGCGUAGGCUGCGCAGAAAGUUGGGUGUGAAAUCCCUCGGCUUAACCGAGGAACUGCGCCCAAAACUACUGUGCUUGAGGGAGACAGAGGUGAGCGGAACUUAGGGUGGAGCGGUGAAAUGCGUUGAUAUCCUAAGGAACACCCGUGGCGAAAGCGGCUCACUGGGUCUCUUCUGACGCUGAUGCACGAAAGCUAGGGGAGCGAACGGG